UACGUAGGGGGCAAGCGUUGUCCGGAAUCAUUGGGCGUAAAGCGCGUGUAGGCGGUCUGGUAAGUCCGCUGUGAAAGUCGGGGGCUUAACCCUCGGAUGCCGGUGGAUACUGUCGGGCUUGAGUACGGAAGAGGCGAGUGGAAUUCCUGGUGUAGCGGUGAAAUGCGCAGAUAUCAGGAGGAACACCAAUUGCGAAGGCAGCUCACUGGUCCGGUACUGACGCUGAGGUGCGAAAGCGUGGGGAGCAAACAGG
rnacentral:rRNA from 1 species